AAAAGUGAGGGCCUCUUAAAAUAAGGUUUUCUUCACAAACGCCGUACCACCCAUUAACAAAAACUUGUUCUUUCUUCUUCUUCUCCAGUUUCUUAAACCCUAAACCCUAGCUGUCAGUCAUACCGUCCAAGAAAGACAGCAGGAAGAUGGAAGACCAAAAUGAAGGAAAGAACAAGGCAAUGUCACGGCCGCAUUUGUUGCAAGAGAAAGAUUACUCAGCACUGAAAGAGCUCUUCAGCCACCAUAUUGAGUCCUUUGAUCAUAUGGUCGAUAAUGGUCUUGAAACCAUGCUGCUCAGUAUCAAGCCCGUUGAGGUCCUUGAUUCCUUUUCCAAGCUCAAGCUAAGAAAUAUCCUUUUUUUUUCUUUUCAAACCUCAAUAUCAAGCCCGUUGAAGUCCUCGAUUCUUUUUCCAAGCUCAAGCUAAGAAAUAUCCUUUUUUUCUUUUCAAAAUUCCUUUCUUUAGUUGCCAAUUCUUCUGAUUGGAAUUCUGAGCUAUAUACAGAGCUAAAAAGAGACGGAGUCUUGCUUAUUUAGUCAAACAGGAUAGUGAACAGCUUGAAAAUAUGUGCCUUGUGUUAAAGAUUGGAUUUUUUUUAACUAUCUUAUUUUCCUUUUCUACUGUUUAAGUUGAAGACCUAGGGGUUGUGUAUUGAGUCAUGGUGAAGUUAGGAUUAUAAUAUUCUG
rnacentral:lncRNA from 1 species